rnacentral:lncRNA from 1 species
AAAAGCACAGGCUGUUCCUUCCGAGGACUUAGGUUUGGUUGAUGGCACCCACAUGGUGGCUCACAACCAUCUGUAACUCCAGCUACAAAGGAUCCAUUGCUAAUCUACUUUAAAAGAUUAAUCUCAUCUUUCAUUACAAAUGUUUCAACUUAACCUUACAAUGAAAACCUUUGUUUACUAGUCUUUUAAUCUCUGAGUUAUAUUCUUUUGUUCUUUGAGUGCUGAGGAUUGAACCUAUGGUGUCACGGUUGCCAAGUCACCAGUCACCACCAGCAAGCUAAACCCCUAUCUAUGAACUUAGAUUCUUCUACUGAAGUUAUUUUAAAUACUCUGAGCUCUUUCUCAAUAGGAAACUGUUCUUAGUCAUUUUUUGUUAGACAGUUUGUCUCACUUUAUGUGGCAUCAUAUAUUUUUCCUAUUUCAGUUCCUUUAUAAAUGCCUUCAUUACUUUUUAUCCAAUCCAAAUCAAAUGUAAAUGCCUCUGUGGUAUUGUAUUAGGUAUGAUUCUCUAGAAGAAUAAAACUUACAGCGUGUAUGUGAUUUGUUUAUUAGAAUGGCUUACAGACUGUGUAGUUCAGCUAAUCUGCUAACAGAAAUUCCAAGAAUUCAUUAUUGGUCAUUCCUUAAGGCUGGAUAUCUUAGCUGUAUUUCAGUAUAUGUCAUAAUUCCAAAGAAGUAGGGCCUAUUGAAUGGAACACAGGGCCCCUAAUGAAGGAGCUAGAGAAACUAAUCA